AGGCGCGUAGCUCAGGGGUAGAGCGCUACGUUGACAUCGUAGAAGUCGCUGGUUCAAAUCCAGUCGCGCCUACCA
rnacentral:tRNA from 1 species